rnacentral:misc_RNA from 1 species
UUUCCGUAGGUGAACCUGCGGAAGGAUCAUUAUAAAUGAAAAACGAAUAACUUCAGGGAAGGAGGGAACCUGCACGGUGACCUCCCCUGUCGGGCCACCCAAUACCUUCAAAAUGCCGCCGUCCUAGCGGUGGCAGACGAAAAAAAAACAAGAAAAACAAAAUAGAAACAGGCACGGUGGCCCGUUCACCUUCACACAACCCUCCGAGUACCGCUUCCAUGUUGCUUCCCCGCAAAUCCACCUCUUUGGUGAGCGCGGGGGAGGUCCGCAUCAAAUUCACCUGAAUGUCACAGCAGUCAGACAGCCAUUCAUGGAAACAAUAAAACUUUCAACAACGGAUCUCUUGGUUCCC